UAACAAUGAUUCCCUCAGUAACGGCGAGUGAACAGGGAAAAGCUCACAGUUGGAACCUAGCUGCCUUAGGUAGUUCGGAUUGUAAACUGAAAAAGUGUUUUCCAGGCUAGCCGAGUAAACAAGUUUCUUGGAAUAGAACAUCAUGGAGGGUGAGAAUCCCGUCUUUGGCUUGAGCAUAGUCUUUUGUGUUGCACUUUAAAGAGUCAGGUUGUUUGGGAAUGCAGCCUAAAGUGGGAGGUAAAUCCCUCCUAAAGCUAAAUAUUGGCGAGAGACCGAUAGCAAACAAGUACCGUGAGGGAAAGAUGAAAAGAACUUUGAAAAGAGAGUUAAACAGUAUGUGAAAUUGCUAAAAGGGAAGCGUUUGAAGACAG
rnacentral:rRNA from 1 species